CCUACGGGAGGCAGCAGUGGGGAAUAUUGCACAAUGGGCGCAAGCCUGAUGCAGCGACGCCGCGUGAGGGAUGACGGCCUUCGGGUUGUAAACCUCUUUCAGUAGGGAAGAAGCGAAAGUGACGGUACCUGCAGAAGAAGCGCCGGCUAACUACGUGCCAGCAGCCGCGGUAAUACGUAGGGCGCAAGCGUUAUCCGGAAUUAUUGGGCGUAAAGAGCUCGUAGGCGGUUUGUCGCGUCUGCUGUGAAAGACCGGGGCUCAACUCCGGUUCUGCAGUGGGUACGGGCAGACUAGAGUGCAGUAGGGGAGACUGGAAUUCCUGGUGUAGCGGUGAAAUGCGCAGAUAUCAGGAGGAACACCGAUGGCGAAGGCAGGUCUCUGGGCUGUAACUGACGCUGAGGAGCGAAAGCAUGGGGAGCGAACAGGAUUAGAUACCCUGGUAGUCCAUGCCGUAAACGUUGGGCACUAGGUGUGGGGGACAUUCCACGUUUUCCGCGCCGUAGCUAACGCAUUAAGUGCCCCGCCUGGGGAGUACGGCCGCAAGGCAAAACUCAAAGGAAUUGACGG
rnacentral:rRNA from 1 species